rnacentral:rRNA from 1 species
UACGUAGGGUGCGAGCGUUGUCCGGAAUUAUUGGGCGUAAAGAGCUCGUAGGCGGUCUGUCGCGUCGGAUGUGAAAACCCAGGGCUUAACCCUGGGCCUGCAUUCGAUACGGGCAGACUAGAGUUCGGUAGGGGAGACUGGAAUUCCUGGUGUAGCGGUGAAAUGCGCAGAUAUCAGGAGGAACACCGGUGGCGAAGGCGGGUCUCUAGGCCGACACUGACGCUGAGGAGCGAAAGCGUGGGAAGCGAACAGG